GUGCGGCGGUGAGCACACGCCUACUAUUGGCACAGGCUCCAGGACGUGGAUGGAGUACUCUACAUGUUGGCGAGGGAGCUGUUCACCGUGUAGGGUGACAUGCCACGGUACUGGAGCUGAACUCUAGGGUCAGGAUCGUUGACAAUCCUCCAGACCGAACAUACUCCUUUUACAAGCACGUAGGUGCAUUUGGAAGAUCGAUUCGAGGGUAUGACAUGACUAGGGUGAUCAUGUCAUGGAACCAUCAUUGGGCGCACCGUUUGAUUCUCAUGGUUACGACUUCUACA